rnacentral:rRNA from 1 species
AUGAAUAAAUCCGGCAUCUUGAUGUUUCAUAUCUAUUGGUUCCUUGUUUGGCAGCCUAUGUUGGUAGAUGUGAGAGCUCCAAAUAUGGAAGCAGCCAGCGUGCGAAAGAUUAAAGGAUGCAUUGCUACAGUGAAAACAUUCAGUGGGCGACCAACGACCAGAAUGUCAUUGCUUUUAUCAUGGCAUCCAACACUUGCAGAUGUGACACAAAAGGGGGUUCUGAAGCUGAUGAACUUGGAUGGCCUGACAGUCUACAAUACCAACGACCAUGUCCAAGUACACGAACUUGAAAACUUUCUAAGAUUCGUACACACCUUCAGAUUUGUUUUCCAGGACAAAGAGGAGAUAAAAGGAGUAUUAGAAAGCUUAAAACCAGCCCCCCGAAACCACUCUGCCAGGAGAAAGAAGACAAUAUCUGGCAUGAUCCGAUCAAUCAGUGAUAGAUCAAAUAGCUUAUUCCGCAUUGUCAUACACAAUGCGGUAUAA